rnacentral:rRNA from 1 species
GUGCGCAGCUUACACAUGCAAGUCGAGCGGUAACAGGGGGUGCUUGCACCCCGCUGACGAGCGGCGGACGGGUGAGUAAUGCAUAGGAAUCUGCCCAGUAGUGGGGGAUAGCCCGGGGAAACCCGGAUUAAUACCGCAUACGCCCUUUGGGGGAAAGCAGGGGAUCUUCGGACCUUGCGCUAUUGGAUGAGCCUAUGUCGGAUUAGCUAGUUGGUGGGGUAAAGGCCUACCAAGGCGACGAUCCGUAGCUGGUCUGAGAGGAUGAUCAGCCACAUCGGGACUGAGACACGGCCCGAACUCCUACGGGAGGCAGCAGUGGGGAAUAUUGGACAAUGGGGGCAACCCUGAUCCAGCCAUGCCGCGUGUGUGAAGAAGGCUUUCGGGUUGUAAAGCACUUUCAGUGAGGAGGAAAACCUUCUGGUUAAUACCCAUGAGGCUUGACGUUACUCACAGAAGAAGCACCGGCUAACUCCGUGCCAGCAGCCGCGGUAAUACGGAGGGUGCAAGCGUUAAUCGGAAUUACUGGGCGUAAAGCGCGCGUAGGUGGUUUGAUAAGCGAGAUGUGAAAGCCCCGGGCUUAACCUGGGAACGGCAUUUCGAACUGUCAGGC